CUUAAACAGAUUGAACAAGGGGAGAAAGUUGAUGUCUCAAAUCAAAAGCCAGGUAGAGCUGGCCGCAAGCGGAAAGAUUUGGAUCUGUAGAGGGUGGUGACAAUCCCAUUGAACAGAAGGAGAACAUUGCGAGGUCUGUCAAAGGCAUUGGGUGUAAGCUGCACGACCUUACAUUCAAGGUUCGAGUGGGGUCAUUUGAGGCGUCACAGUAAUAAGGUGAUGCCCCACUUAAACCUAUGCAACAUUGUAAAGAGAUUGAGAUGGUGCUUGGCUAUGUGUGAAGAUUAUUGGUUUGUGACACGGGAAUUAGAGAACAUAGCCUACAUGGACGAAAAGUGGUUCAACAUGACUGGGGAGGUGAACAACUACUAUUUGCUUCCCGAAGAACCCGACCCCUUACGCACCUUGCAUCAUAAGGAUAGCAUCGCCAAGGUGAUGUUUCUCGCUGCCGUGGCUGAACCAAGAUAUGGCGAAGGUGGUGAGGUCACGUUUGAUGGAAAGCUCGGCAUUUGGGAUUUUGUCACAGAGUCUCCUGCUCAAAGAACGAGUGAAGAUAGAGAUAAAGGGACGCUCGAGCUCAAAUCAUUGAAAGUCACACGAGAUGUAAUGAGGUAUUACAUGUGUGAGAAACUUAUUCCUGCGAUCCAAGAGCGCUAG
rnacentral:rRNA from 1 species